AUUGGACGCUGGCGGCAUGCCUUACACAUGCAAGUCGAACGGUAACGCGGGGCAACCUGGCGACGAGUGGCGAACGGGUGAGUAAUGCAUCGGAACGUGCCCAGGAGUGGGGGAUAGCCCGGCGAAAGCCGGAUUAAUAUCGCAUACGACCUCCGGGUGAAAGCGGGGGACCGCAAGGCCUCGCGCUAUUGGAGCGGCCGAUGUCCGAUUCGGUUGUUGGAGGGGUAAAAGCCUACCCAGCCGACGAUCUGUAGUUGGUCUGAGAGGACGACCAGCCACAGUGGGGCUGAGACACGGCCCAGACUCCUACGGGAGGCAGCAGUGGGGAAGUUUGGACAAUGGGGGCAACCCGGAUUCAGCCAUGCCGCGUGCGGGAAGAAGGCCUUCGGGUUGUAAACCGCUUUUGUCAGGGAAGAAAAUGUCUGGGCUAAUACCUGGGGGUAAUGACGGUACCUGAAGAAUAAGCACCGGCUAACUACGUGCCAGCCGCCGCAGUAACAC
rnacentral:rRNA from 1 species